GAUGAACGCUAGCGGGAGGCUUAACACAUGCAAGUCGAGGGGCAGCAUAGGGUAGCAAUACUCUGAUGGCGACCGGCAAACGGGUGAGUAACGCGUAUGCAACCUACCCUGUACAGGGGGAUAACCCGGAGAAAUUCGGACUAAUAUCCCGUAAUAAUAUCCGGAGGCAUCUUUGGAUAUUUAAAGUUUCGACGGUACGGGAUGGGCAUGCGUAACAUUAGCUGGUUGGUAAGGUAACGGCUUACCAAGGCUAUGAUGUUUAGGGGUCCUGAGAGGGUGGUCCCCCACACUGGUACUGAGACACGGACCAGACUCCUACGGGAGGCAGCAGUGAGGAAUAUUGGUCAAUGGGCGCAAGCCUGAACCAGCCAUCCCGCGUGCAGGAAGACGGCCCUAUGGGUUGUAAACUGCUUUUCCAGGGAGAGAAACUUACGCACGUGUUGCGUGACUGACGGUACCCUGGGAAUAAGCAUCGGCUAACUCCGUGCCAGCAGCCGCGGUAAAACUCACGUGUA
rnacentral:rRNA from 1 species